rnacentral:tRNA from 2 species
GAAGAGAUGCCGGAGCGGCUGAACGGACCAGUCUCGAAAACUGGAGUAGGGGCAACGCUACAGGGGGCUCAAAUCCUCUCUCUCCGCCA